CCUACGGGAGGCAGCAGUGGGGAAUUUUGGACAAUGGGCGCAAGCCUGAUCCAGCCAUGCCGCGUGCAGGAUGAAGGCCUUCGGGUUGUAAACUGCUUUUGUACGGAACGAAAAGUCUCUUUCUAAUAAAGAGGGAUCAUGACGGUACCGUAAGAAUAAGCACCGGCUAACUACGUGCCAGCAGCCGCGGUAAUACGUAGGGUGCGAGCGUUAAUCGGAAUUACUGGGCGUAAAGCGUGCGCAGGCGGUUAUAUAAGACAGUUGUGAAAUCCCCGGGCUCAACCUGGGAACUGCAUCUGUGACUGUAUAGCUAGAGUACGGUAGAGGGGGAUGGAAUUCCGCGUGUAGCAGUGAAAUGCGUAGAUAUGCGGAGGAACACCGAUGGCGAAGGCAAUCCCCUGGACCUGUACUGACGCUCAUGCACGAAAGCGUGGGGAGCAAACAGGAUUAGAUACCCUGGUAGUCCACGCCCUAAACGAUGUCAACUGGUUGUUGGGAAUUCACUUUCUCAGUAACGAAGCUAACGCGUGAAGUUGACCGCCUGGGGAGUACGGCCGCAAGGUUGAAAACUCAAAAUGAGUAGAGGCGUGAGAGNGCGACGGACGACGACGAGGGAGGAGG
rnacentral:rRNA from 1 species